rnacentral:sRNA from 1 species
CGAAACCCAUCGACGAACUCAUUUCGUACGGCAGGAGCGGGGGACCCAGGUAAGUCGCCGGACCGGACGACACACGUCGCACCGGAACGGCUAGGGGUGAAGCCGUGCCUUUCCCGAGGCACGGCCGGGCACCUCCCCGCCCGAACCCGACAGCUCACCUCGUAGGCGACGGAGAGGACUU